rfam:Fukomys damarensis contig153582, whole genome shotgun sequence.
GGAUGUGAGGGCAACCUGGCUGUGACAUCUGUCACCCCACUGAUCUCGAGGGUUGAUUUGGCUGAUCUGGCCGGCUAGGCCGGUGUCCCCUCCCUCCCUCACUGCUCCAUGUGCAUCCGGCCCGAAGCUGUGGCGCUCUAUGGAAAAGGAGGAAGAGGACGACCAUCCCCACUAGCGGAGGACCGUUUCCUAGGUCAAGGGUAUAUGAACAGAUGUGCUCCCGGGCUAGAACCUUCAAACAAGCUCUCAAGAAGUUAACCUAACGUUUAGUGAGAUGGCAUCUGCCAAAUAAGUACAGUUUACAUCCCUGAUUCUU